UCUGCUUGUCUUCCCCAUUGCUCGUCGUGCAAUUCUUGACCACUAUCGUUAUAUAUCUUGAUUCCUCAUCUUAAUGUUCAGCCAGUCCAACAAACUGUUUAUACACCUUUGUGAAAAGACACACUAAGAGAAAAAAUGGUCAAUACAUUCUACUUGAGCUCCGCAAAGUAAACAAUUAGCAUCAGGGACUACUCCAAACUGUACCAAUUUUUCUC
rnacentral:lncRNA from 1 species